rnacentral:lncRNA from 7 species
AAGACUCCAGACUCACUUAAAGGUGGUGUCCAUAGAAAACAAUCUGUCUACCUGCUCUCAGCAUUGCCUACUGGGAUCAGUAGUGUGGGGCAGUCCUUUCUUCAUGUCCAGAUGAUCACAGGAAGUUCCAAGCCCCUGUUACUGGUGCCGCAAAAAAACAUGUGCAAAAUUCUCUGGACUCUGUUCUCUCCAUGGACUUUGAUCCAAUUUCUGGCCUGGUUCAGCCAUCAGUGUGUAUCUGUAGCAUCUGAGAAGCGCUUCUGUUCAGAGCAAAGUUUGAUCUCCAUUGGCUGGAACAGUCCAAGUUGCAGAUGAAGAAGAAGAGCACCAAGUUCAUGUCCCUUGGAUCCUGGAGGAAUGCUCAGCAGAUGAGCAGUGGAUGGUGUGGAAGCACCAUCUCAGGGCUCCUGGCAAGAAGAAGAAGGUGAGGAAGGAGCGGGCGACUUUUUCCCCAUGUUCCCAGAGAAGUGAAGGGAAGGGCUCACCCUGAGGAUGCUGGCAUAGGCAGUCCCCUCGGCAUGAGCUCUUACCCCACCACAUGGAUUCACUCAACCGAGAGGGAUGAAUUCCUUUUUAGAUGCUGAAAUUUAAAAGAAAGCGUAACUGAAAUGAAUGGACUUUUUUUACACAAGGAACCUUAAGCUCUUUUUCAGUUUUGCCGGCAUAAAAUGAAGAUGCAUAAAAUGUCCUGCCAGCAGCAUCCUCAGUUUCCAGCAGCCUGGUCGGGGUAUGAACCAGGGCCCUCCUGCCAAACUCAAGACGUUUUUAUCCUCCUCCCUUCCUUCCUGGGAAGUAAAGGGAGCAGCAAGAAAAGAAAAAUCAAAUCUCUUCACCGGGGCCUGGGCAAAUAGCCGGCUCUCUAGUGCCUCCAAGUUCUUUCUGUUUAAUAAAACACAGCAGAGGAGGCUC